rnacentral:lncRNA from 1 species
AAAAUAAAGAUUCAUUAUAUAACCCGUACGUACUAUGACACAUCAACUUUCUUGAAGAUGAAUUUGAAUAUUUUGUUCACGCUAAUAUCUAGAGAUGAUGAAUCUAGACAUUUUAUUUUUCAAUAGUCUCUUCGCUUUUGAGAUACUUUUCUCUUUCUUUUUUUUCUAGUCACUUUUUUUAAUGCAAAGCAAAAAAGUAAGGUAAGAUUGCGUACAAUAUACCCCUAUGAUGGACCCUUCUCCGAACCCUGUGCAUAACGAGAGUUUUAAUACACUGAACUGUCCUUUCACUUUUUUUAAUGCAAAACAGAUAACAUCUAAAUUUUCAAUCUGCCACCCUCGUUACUAGAAAAAAAAGGAUAGACAAAAUCAGCCAAACUUUUAAAUCUGAUUGAAAUUUAUGACAAACACUAACUAAAUGGAUUAAUUCCACGCAUUUCUUUGUUGUCUAUACAAUACUAUAACCAUUAAUAAAACCACACACAUACGGUCAUAUGAACACCGUAUGCUAAUUCAGAAUAUAGAGUCAGUAAAUUUAGAACAAGUGUCAUCUUCUUAUAUGUAUAAAUCGUAAAUCUUCUUUGUAUGUGUAUACAUACAUAGCCUGAGUCUAAAACAAUGUGUUCAAUCCUAUAUUGUUCGUACUCUCAAAAAAAUGUUGUUGUGUGUCAGAUCUUUCAAAAGUAAUGUAUUUUUUGAAAAUUCGACACGAGUGAGACUACAUUUCUAAAGAGUCCCCGCAACAUAGGUUCAAUCAAACUCAAUCUGCUCUAAAUCAAUCGAACUUUUUGAGGUGAUGAGAAAUGUUUGGCUGCAGAUAUCAUAGUUGCCUCUGGUCCAGAUGAACCACUAGAAAUUGAAUCUUUCACAACUUUGCUAGCAUAAGGACAGUCAGAUACACUAAAGUUCCCACUAUCGUUACUAUUGAUAUAGAAGCACAAAGGAAAUGACUUUAAUGAAGAAGGAAAAUCACUAGUAUUUUUCUUCUUACUAUUACUCAUUUUGUUUGCUUCUAAACAAACAACAACUCUCUGAAAGUGUUUUUGAUUUGUUUCUGUUUUUGAUAAAAUUGCCUUUAUAUAACAUGUUUAUUCUUGGUGCCCAAGGUUAAAUUUUGUUGAGAACCAAAAAAGUCUUCCUAUCAACAAUAAAAUUUUAAAAAGUAUAUAGAUAUUUGAUGUAUGUGGCAAGUGGCAACCAUGACAAGGAAAUUUCCUAUAAAGUAAGUAAUCUUAGAUACUUCUUAUCUUUGACUAGUCAAUAAAAGAUCAUGUCAGCCAUACAAUUUUUUCACUAAAUAGCUCGUAACUAACAUGAUUUUUUGGAGGGGUCUGAUGCUCCAAUGCGAAGGUGUGAGACUCUGACUAGGGAUGGUUUUAGGCGGGCUAGAGGUAGACUGAAGAAAUAUUGGAGAGAGUUGAUUAGGCAUGAUAUGGAGCAAUUACAGCUUACUAAGAACAUGACUCUUGAUAGGAAGGUGCGGAGGACGCAGAUUAGGGUAGAGGCCGGUUAGGGGGUGGGAGCGCGGAGGUAGUAAUAGGAGAGUUAUCCUUUGGAUCUAGAGUUUCUGGUUCGUAAUGUUGUGGCUGUAGUUUAGGGCUAGUGGUGUUGGCUUUUUUGCAUCCCGUACUAGUUUAUUAUGCACUUAUCUUUUGUGUUUGUUAUACGGUUAGUUUGUUUUGUGUACCAUACUAGUUUAUAUGUGCCUACUUUUUGUAUUUGUUAUACUGUUAUUGGUCGUAAGCCAGGGGUCUAUCGGAAACAAACUCUCUGCUUCUCUUGAGGUAGUUGUAUGGUCUGCGUACACUCUACCCUCUCCAGACCCCACUAGGUGGGAAUACGCUAGGUAUGUUGUUGUUGCAUCGUUAAAUAUGAUUAAGAACGGAUUAUUUAGCUACGGAUUGAAAGUUGUUCGUUGUUAAUUUUUGUCAUUUAUAGAAAUCGAUUAUUCUUUAGCUUUAAAAAAAAAAAAAUUGGUCAUAUCCAAGCUGGUGUGCGAGCACUUGAGUCAGUACUGCAUCAAAAAACAUUUUUAUCGGCAAUUAGUUAACGAUAAUAGCCUAAUUGCAAUUACAUUAUCUUGUGCACCACGAAAGCUACUCCCAUCUUAUCUCGAAUGACCUCAUUCUUGAUUCCAUCACGCCUAGCUAGUAUGCUCACACAUUCAUCUCAAUAUCCUCAUUUCAGCGACAUGCAUCUUCUGCACAUGGAAGUUUUUGACUAGCCAACACUCCACCCUAUACAACAACAUCGGUCUAACCACCACUCUAUAAAACUUACCUUUAAGUUUUGGUGGUAUCUUCUUAUCACACAAGACUCUAGAGGCAAGCCCCCAUUUCAUCCACGCCGCACCAAUACGAUAAGUGACAUCAUCGUCGAUGUCCCCACCACCCUAGAGAAUAGAACCAAGAUACUUGAAAUUGCCCCUCUUAGGGAGAGCCUAUGUGUCCAGCGGCACUUCCACGUCUUCAUCAUAUAACGGUAUAACCCUUCACAAAAUUUGCACUUCAAAUACCCCGUUUUUGUCCUGCUCAACUUAAACCCUAUAGCUUCUAAAAUUUGUCUCCACACCUCGAACCUAUUUUUCACUUUGCUACGUGUCUCAUCGAUCAAUAAUAUGUCAUCUGCAAAUAACAUACACCAAGGCACUUCAUCUUGGAUGCACCACGCAUCAAUACAUCCAUCACCACGAAAAAGAGGAAUGGACUAAGAGCUGAUCCUUGGUGCAACCCAAUUUCCACAGGAAAAUGCUCCAAGUCUCCUUCUACCGUUCUAACCCACAUAUUAACUCCAUUAUACAUACUCUUUAUCGCCCUAAUGUAAGUCAUCGAUACACCUCUAGUUUCAGACACCUCUAAAACACCAAAAAGUUCGUAUUAUUUUUGUCAAUACAAAUUUGAACCUCUUUCAUGGACAACGUUCGUACCACUAAAAUCUUUUGACUUUUCUUUGUGCCUACAUGUCUGAUUAAAAAUAAGAGAAUGUAACUCAUAUCAAUACUCCACAUGUAGGCAUAAUAUUUGACUAAUCGACAGAAAAAAAAUGUGUGCUCUCAUUAACAAUAUAUUAAUUGUUACUCAAUAUUUCAUUAUCAAGAAUACACACAAAAAAAAAAAAAAAAAAAUAAACAGGGAAAAUUUUUUUUAUAAUCCUAAAGUUCGGAUUGUGUGAUAACCAAGAAAAGGAAAGACACAGAAAGCAACUCUUUAAUAUUUUCUUAUUUUAAACUAUUGAUUCUUUUAAUUGUUUGAAUCCUUGCUUUGAAUUUUCCGGGUUGUAUGUUGGACUAGUAUAAAUUUUACUGAAGGUUGACUGAAAUUGGAGCUCGAAUUUAAAGUUUAUGAUUUUGAAUUAUAAUCUUUUUAAGUUAUUGAAUUUUAACUUAACAAUCCGUUAUUAAAUAAAUUUUAAAGAUAAAUAUAAUAUUUGAAUAAAAAUUACUAAAUUUGCUGAAUCCAUAACCGACACUCUCCUCCUCCCUGAUUGGAUGAGGAAAAACUCCAUUGAUUGUUCCGAAAUAAUAAGAUCCUUACAUUGAUCUUUUUUUUUAAACAUGACAUGGUAGGAAAAGGGGUAUUAGGAAAUAAAAGUAGUGGUCAUAGGGCGAAAGUGAUGUUAGUAAAUGUGAUUGUUGGAUGAAGGUGAAAGGUGAUGGUAGGAAUUGGGGCGGUGAGGUGGCAUGUCAUAUGACAUUCAUAGAUGUCAGAUAAAUACGUGAACACAUGGGAUGUUGGCCAUGGUGGAGGGCCGUUAAAGAGGAGGGGUAUGUUUGCACUAGUUCUGUAGCAUCAAGAAAAAUUUAAUAAUUCUCAGUUACUGAUAAAUUAUAGUUUUAGUCUUUGUGAUAGAUAGCUCAACACGUUAAACGUUCGAUUAAUUAAAAUGAAUGUUAAAUGUUAAUAUCAAACUUGUAAAUAUUAGUUAUAAACAAAGGGAUCAUAAGAGCAAGUUUCAGAAAAUUAAAGAUUAAAUGCGCUUAAUCAUAUACAUAAUGACUAAAUUAGAAUUUCUGAAUAUAGCUAAGGGACCAAAAGUGUUAUAACCCUUUCUAACAACUACAAACUGUAGAAAUAUACUACAGUACUUUAUAAAAGUUUCCAUUGUUUUUUCAUGGCAAACUGCCUAGUGCUAAGGAAUACAAAGGAUUUCAUGCAAUUCUUUAUUGGCUAUACACUACUAUACAUACGUAUAAAAGCCAUAUACUAUAGGUGAAUUCAAAAUUUAAAAUCAGUGGAUUCAGAAAUAGGUUUGACAACUUUGUGAACCGCACGUUUUUGCUUAUGUAUACGUAGUUAGGCAUUGGAUGAAACCCCUUCGAUGGAAAUUAUAUUAUUUUUAUAUGAUUAAAAAUAUAUUUUAUGUAUAUAUAGUAGAUGUUAGAAUCUCUUUCGGCUAGUUCGUACGUUUAUUGCUGAACCCCUCAAUGAAAAUCCUUGUUCUGCCACUGGCUCAAAUUUAACUCUCCAAAAUGUCAUUGGUGAGUAUCAGAUCCUCCGAAGUAGUAUAUUUUUGAAGAAUCCAAAACGGAUUUGACAACAUUUUUGGAGAUUCCGCACAACAUAGGUUCAGUCAAACUCACAAAAUCUGCUCUAAAUCAACCGGACUUUGUGAGUUGAUGAGAAAUGUUUGGCUGCAGAUAUCAUAGUUGCUUCAACUCCAGAUGAAACACUAGAAAUUGAAUCUUUCACAACAUUGCUAGUAUCAUCAUCAUCAUCUUUAACAUAGAAGCACAAAAGAAAUGACUUUAAAGAUGAAGAUAAAUCACUAUUUUUCUUCUUAUUAUAACUCAUUUUGUUUGCUUCCAAACAAACAACAACUUAGGCAGAUGACAAGAUCUUGCUCGGACAGUAAGUACCACUCACUUCCAACCCUUGAGUUCGAUCACAAAAGAAUUUGACAAAGAAUUGGGGAUAAUGAAGAGCUCUCAAGGCGACAAAGGGGGUGAUUUUUCUUGUUGUGUUUUUGAAUUUGAUGAAACAUCCUUUAUAUAACAUGUAUAUUCUUGGUGCCCAAGGUCAAUUAUAUUGAGAAGCAACAAAGUUUCUUCCUAUAAGCAAUUAAAAUUUAGAAAAUUAUCUUAGAUAUUUGAUGUUAUGUGGCACUCAUGAAAAGGAUAUUUCCAAUAAAGUUAGUCUCAUUCCUUCUUAUCUUGGACUAGUCAAUUAAAAAGAACAGGUUAACUUUGUCUUUCAUUUUUAAUGAAGAAGCAUGAAAGAAAUGACCUUAAGGGAUAAGAAAAUUCCCUUUUUUUUCUCUUAGUACUAUUUGCUCAUACUUUUUCUUCCACAAAAAGAAAUUGUUGAGAAUGAAGAGUACAAAAUAUUGAUCAAAAAAGGAAAGGGUUUGAAUUUUCUUGAGUAUUUUACAUUUGAUGAACUGAAAUUCUUGGUGAUCAACAUGUGAUCGAGCUCCCGUUUAAUUGUGGUAGAACAUGCAUUUUACGUGAAAAGAAUUAAAGUUUUGUGGGUGAAAAUCCUACAAACUCAAAAAAUGAUCUGAGUUCGUUUUGAGAACUUGAAAAUAUUUGAAGAUCAUAUUUUCAAAAUCUAAUCAAAUUUCAUGAUCAAAUAAAUAUUUAUAAUAAAAAUCUAAUCUAAAAUAUAUGACCAAACACUAGCUAACUUGAGAAAUUAGAACAACAUUGCGUCUUCUCAUGGCAAUGUAAUUUGAAAAUUAAAGUACGUCAGAUAUAUUAAGUUGUGUGGGAGCCAAGAAAAAGAAAGGGCCCAAAAUGUAACUUUUGAUUAGUUUCUUAUUUUGAAAAACAAUGAUUUUUUCAUUCUUUAUCAUAACGUCAAAUCGUCGAUAAAUGUGUGUAGCACUAGGGGUGUGUUUGGUAUGAAGGAAAAUAUUUUCCAUGGAAAAUGUCUUCUCAGAAAAUGUUUUCUUGGAAAACAAGUAGAUUUUUUACUUGUUUUCCUGUGUUUAGUUGGUGGAUGGAAAAUAUUUUUCGGAAAAUAGUUUGUAAUGUUUGGUUGGUGAAUGAAAAAAUAUUUUUCAAAAAAUACAUUUUAAUCUUUAGCUAAAGCGUAAAAAUACAUUUUAGAAAAAUAAUUUUUGAUCUCAAAAAAUAUUUUUUGGGGUGGGUUCGAUAUGUAGGAGAAGAAAUAUUUUUUAAGAAAAUAAGUUGUUUCUCACUUAUAUUUAGGGGUGCAUUCGAUUUGUUCGGUUUGAUUGUUGAAUAUCGGUACAGUUUUUUGGUUUUCGGAUUGACGAAAAUGACAAUCAUAACCAAACCAAAAUUAUUUCGGUUUGGUUCGAUUUUUACAAAUUCGGUUCGGUUAUUUCAUAUUUUUAUUUCGAUUUUGAAGAUUAAAGUAGUGAGCAUUUAAAAUUGAUGAUUUUUUCUAGAAAAAUAAUCUUUUUUCAAACCUAUUUUCAUACUUAAAUAUAAUUAAUUUAACACGAAUGAAAUAACCAUAAAUAUCGACUCCGCUGAGUCAUCACCGUUGGCGUAACGACAAUGGCUGCACAUGACAGCGACUGUCGACGGCAGUGACAAGGUUGUCAAAAUAGGUAGUAAGGGUGGAUAAGAAAAUAAUUUUAAUUUUUUAAAAAAUAAUUUAUUUUGCGGGGGUGGGGGGUGAAGAGAGGUUGGGGGCUAGUACGGGGUAGGGGUAGGGGUAGGGGAGUAUGAGUCAGGUAAAAAAAAUUGAAAUAUGUUUUUUGAAUGUGGGUAGUAGGGGGGGGGGGACGACUUCGCUGAGUCAUCACCGUUGGCGUAACGACAAUGGCUGCACAUGACAGCGACUGUCGACGGCAGUGACGAGGUUGUCAAAAUAGGUAGUAAGGGUGGAUAAGAAAAUAAUUUUAAUUUUUUAAAAAAGAAUUUAUUUUGGGGGGGUGGGGGGUGGAGAGAGGUUGGGGGCUAGUACGGGGUAGGGGUAGGGGUAGGGGAGUAUGAGUCAGGUAAAAAAAAUUGAAAUAUGUUUUUUGAAUGUGGGUAGUAGGGGGUGGGGGUCGGGGUAGAGGAGUGAGGGUGGGGUAAGAAAAAAAUUAAAUUUUUUUUAAAAAAGAUUUAAAAAAUUUAAUUUGUUUGAAGGGGGGGAGGGGAGGAGGUUGGUAGAGAAGGUAAGAAAAAUGUUUGAUUUUUUUAAAAAAAAUUAUUUUUUUUGUUUUUGGAAAGGGGAAGGAAGUAGGGUUUUGAGUAGGGGUGAGGUAAAAAGAAUUAAAAUAUAUUUUUUAAUAGGGAUGGUAAAGGGUGGGGGUGGGGUGGGAGAUUGAGGGUCGGAGUAGAGAUGAGUGAUUUUGAGAGUUGUAUGAAUAUUUCAAUUUAAGAGUGAGGUUGAAAGAGAGUUUUGGAAAAUGUUUUCCUUACUUUUUGAAGGGAAGUCAUUUUCCUUAGUUUUAAGGAAAAUAAGUUGAUUUGGAAAAUAUUUUCCAAAACCUGUAAGCCAACCAAACAGCAGAAAACUGAAAAACAUUUUCCAGAAAAUGUUUUCCUUCAUACCAAACACAGCCUAGAAAUCUCUUUGGACUUCUCUCUAUAUCAGAAUAGGAGAAUGUAACUUCAAAAAUGUUUACACUGAUUAACAAAUGUAAUUGAUAUAAUAUGUCAGUAUAUAUCAAGAUUACACAAAUUGUUGUUCUCCUCUAACCUUACCAUAGAAAAUUCUAGCUAUUGGCCAAUUAAGAUACACAACAACAACAACAACAACAAACCCAGUGUAUUCCCACUUAGUGGGGUCUGGGGGGUAAGAUGUACGCAGUCCAUACCUCUACCUCUGAUGAAGUAGAAAGGCUGUUUCCGAAAGACCCCCGGCUCAAGUCACGAGAUAUCAAUUAAAUGAUGUCAUUUAAAUUUUAUGUUGUUCGAUUUUUGUUACUAUCUAUUGUUUUGGGUAGUUCGAUUGUAGCAUUAUUUUGUCACUGUACUGUCUGCUACUAUCUGUUGUUUUUGUUACUAUUUAUUGUCUCUUGUACUUCCAUUACUUCUUUUUUUAGACUGUUUUUAUCUUGAGUCGGGAGUCUAUUAGAAUCAACCUUUCUUUCUCACCUCUGAGGGAGCUAAGGUGUGCGUACAUUCUAUCCUCCCUAGCAGAGGCAGAGCCAGAAUUUUCACUAAGAGGUUCAAAAGUUGAAGAAAAACAAUCGAAGGGGUUUCAAACUUAUUAUAUAUACAUAAAAAAAGUUUAGUCAAGUAUAAAUAAUAUAAUUUUUCAUCAAAGGGGAUUCGAAUGAACCCUCAUGCCAAACACUGACUCCGCCCCUGCUCCCUAGACCCUACCUUGUGGAAUACACCAGAUAUGUUGUUGUUGAUGGUGUCAUUUUUGCGAAGGCGGCUGGAGAAUAUAGUUGUGCAAAUGUUAAAGACCACUCUUUCAUUUUUUGUUGUUUAAGUUUGGAUUUAAUUUGUCAAAGUGCCUGAAAAGUAAAAACUACAAGCUGUAUUAUGAAAUUACAUUAUUUCUUCCAAAAACAUACACGUGGGAGAAAGUUUUCCAUACAAAGGAUUAAUUCCAUGCAUUUCUUUGUUGUCUAUACAAUACCAUAACCAUUCACUAAACCACACAUAUCGUCAGUAAAAUCAGAAUAAGUGUGAUCUUCUUAUAUGUAUAUAUACAUUACAUCUUCUUUGUAUGUGUAUACAUACAUAGCUCGAGUCGAAAACAAUAUGUUCAGUUCAAUAUUGCCGGGACUCUCCAGAAAUGUCAUUGAGUGUGUAUCAGAUUUUUUAAAAAAAAGUAUAUUUUUGGAGAAUCUGACAUGGGCGAGAAAAUAUUUCUGGAGAGUCUGCAGCAUAGGUUCAGUGAACUCACAAAAUCUGCUCUAAAUCAACCGGACUUUGUGAGGUGAUGAGAAAUGUUUGGCUGCAGAUAUCAUAGUUGCUUCAACUCCAGAUGAACCAUUAGAAAUUGAAUCUUUUACACCUUUUCUAGUAUCAUCAUCUUUAAUAUAGAAGCACAGAAGAAAUGACUUUAAGGAAGAAGAUAAAUCACUAGUAUUUUUCUUCUUACUAUAACUCAUUUUAUUUACUUUGAUCAACAGACAAGAACUUAGAUUAUAUUGUGAAGAAUGAAGACCUCUCAAGUCAAUAAAGUGGUAUUUUUGUUGAAGUGUUUUUGGAUUUGAUGAACAUUUCCCCUUUAUAUAAUAUGUUUAUUCUUGGUGCCCAAGGUUAAUUAAUUUUAUGUUGAG